rnacentral:lncRNA from 10 species
AACCUCUGCCUCCCGGGUUCAAGCAAUUCUCCUGCCUCAGCCUCCUAUAUAGCUGGGACUACAGGCAUGUGCCACCACACCUGGCUAAUUUUCGUAUUUUUAGUAGAGGCAGGGUUUCACCAUGUACAGGCUUCCCACUGGGGCAUGGCCUAGUAGAUCUGUGAGGAGAGAAUCACGGUCCUCCAGACCCCAGAAUGGUAGAUCUAGCUACAGCUUGCACCCUGCACCUAGAAAACCUGAUUGUUCUACAUGAAUUAACUUAUCUGUCUCUUUCUCCUCUCACUCUUCUUUAUGUUUUUUUUCUUAGUACUCAUUACUACCUGGUGUGUGUGUGUAGUUUUUUUUAUAGAGAUAGUGAAAUCAAGAUCCUGAAGCAUUGCUUCAAAUAAUUUUAAGAGGAGGUCAAACACACCUGUUCCAGUGAAAUCUUCGAGACAAAACAUAGUCAAAGCAAUCAGUGAUGGGGACACAGCAAGCUAUGACUGUCUCUGUCUCUGUGGGGCCUCUCCCCAUGGAGACACCACCCGGAUGGUCCUCACCCAUUUUCUUUUCCAAAACACUCAUAUUUCAUUUCUUGCAUCUUAGCCACCCAUGUAUUCUUUACAAUUCUGAGGUGCUAAAAAAUUUUUUCAGGCCAAGCACGGUGGCUCAUGCCUAUAAUCCCAGCACUUUGGGAGGCCGAGGUCGGGGGGGAUCACUUGAGGUCAGGAGUUCAAAAUCAGCCUGGCCAAUAUGGUGAAACCCUGUCUCUGCUUCGAUGUACUUUCACACUAGAAUGUCAUUACACCAAGAAUGUUUUCUUUAAAUCGAUAGAAUAAUAAAUUUUGUCAUGCUGUCAGCUCACUCACACAUAGGACUUAUUCUAUGAAAUAUAGCUUUUUUUUUCCUUCAAAUUCAAUGGAUUGAGCCAAGAUCCAGCAUCUUUACUGAUGCUCAAAAGCUUUAAUUAGGCUCAUCUCAGGAAUCAUGGCUCUGGAAAGCUUUCCACAGGCCGAUAAAGGAAUUCCUGCACCUUUGUGAUCAUGCUCUUCUACCUUUCACUUCCUGACCGUCAGGAGGUUUCCUACCACCAGGUCCUUGGGCUGUGUGGGCUGGGGUGAGGACAGGCUGACUGCCUCCACAGGCCACCCUUACUACAUCUCUGACGCUACCUGGGCCUCAGUCCACUAAGAACUGAUUAUCUAUAAUAUAGAUAUUAUAUUACUAUAUUAUAUAUUAUUAUUAUUAUAUUAUUAUAUUAUCAUAAAGGCCAUUAGAGACCUUUAGAGGUGCAAUGAUCAUGACACUGGCAGGCUACAGUUUCAAAUAGGCUGAAAUGGUAGAUUAUAACCAAAAUGCAAAAUUUCAAGUGAGUCUCUGAUUCUUUAACAUUCCCCUUUUCAGGUAUAUACUUGUUAAUAAUUUUCAAAUGAUAAUUUUUUUCAUAUAAUAUUUUAUCUUUUAUCCUUUCAAAUAAUUUUCAAGUUGAGAGCAACCUAAUUUUCUUUUGAAAGUUACUCUCAUUUCCAUAAUGUAAACUACUGAGGUACUUCUGUAGGGUGAGACCAUGAGCCUUCAAAAUGGACCCACUUUGGGAAAAGCUCCGUAAUGAGUAAAUUGCCAAUGCAUGUUAAACAGCAAUGAAUGGUGUGCUCUUCCUAAGGCAACCUGAUGGCAUCUCCAUUUCCAGGCUGGCUUCUCCUGUGGUGCCCAGUUUAGUGCCUGGUCUUAGGGACUGGGUUCUAACCAGAGGCUGGGCAUUCACUGACCUUUUGGUGCUUGUGCUGGAGAUAGGCAGGUAGUCCAUGACAGCGAUGUAC